GCCCUGUCAGAGGGGGCCCAGAGCCCGCGCUGGAGGGGCAGCAGGAAGGGCCGAGGCAGCUCCUUGGAGGGGGACCCCACUUGCCCCGCUCCUGGGGAUUCCUGGACAGGAAGGGCGCGGCCGGGGACAGAGCCCCCCUGCCCACCGUGGCCUCCCUCUGUGGGCCUCAGCCGCCUGGGCCCCUCCAGCCUCCUUUCUGCUUCUGUGACUUGAACCCCAAGGGACCAGCUGCCAGCGUGACGGGUGCCUCAUACCCCCAGGGCCUGGCCCCGAGGGGGCAGCCAGGUGGCCGUCCCCUCUUCCCCCCACUUGGUCCCCACACCUUGUCCCCAGGCCUGGAGGCUCUCAUGAAAGGCUCAUUCUCCUUUCAUUAUGCAGGUGACAAAUUCUGCGUCCAGUGACCACUUGUGACAAAUCAGCACUGAAGCCCAGGGGCGCCCGGGGCCGAGGAACCAGAGUGGAUUCCAGAGGAAAAAGCCCAGGGCCACCGUGGAACCAGAGGGGGAGUGGCGUGGGGACCAGGGAGGGGUGGCCCCAACAGGGAGAGCAGGACAGGAGGGACGGGGAGGCCCCCUCACCCUGGGGCCUUUGCACGGCCGUCCCUCUGUGCCAGGAGAAGACGGGGCGCCCCAGGCAGGGGCUGCUGCUGGGGGCUGGGAGGGAGGAGUGAAGGCCGGGCCCAGGCUGGCCUCAGAGGCCAGCUGUCCGCAGCACUAGGGAGCCACGGAGGGUCCCUGAGCAGGGCAGGUGGGUGGAAAGCUCUGCCCCUCCUCCCCUCUGUGCCCUCAGGAUGGGGCCUGGACCCUGUGGUGAGGGAGGAGCUAAAGGGCACUUGGAAGUGGGGACAGAUGGCGGCCACGCCUGGUGGUGGCACCUCAGGGCGCCCUUGGCGGGUGCAGAGGUGAGUGGUCGGGCCUCCCUGGCGGGAGGACAGCCCAGCAGGAGGCCCCCCUGGCAGUGAGGGGCCUGGUCCACUCCCGUGUGGUCUCCUUUCUGCUCCUCCUCCGCCUGAGGGAGGCGCUGUCUCGGCCACUCUGCAGACAGGAAACCGGGGCUCAGACUGUCAAGGACGGGAGGUUCCCCGAAGAAACAGUUUCCUGGCUUCUGAACCAGUGCUGGGCACACAGUCGGUGCUUAGUGAAGGGACAGGAGUGGCACUGAGACCUUGGACUCCAGAAUCAGUGCUCACCAAGUAGCUUUCUCUGAGCUGGGGCUGGCCUCAGACACAGCAAAAAAACCCAGAAAUGGAAUCUUCCAUCUUGGAAAUGUGGCCCAGAGAGGGAAAGUAAUCUGUUCAAGGUCACACAGUGCACGUGUGGCAGAGCAGGGUCCACGACCAGAUCUCUGGACUUUUCCUCUGACCAGGGCCUGGGGGCUCAGGGCAGAGUGGACUUGGUCAGAGCUGGGCAGUGGGACAGGCUACAGUUGCACAGGAGGGCCCAGCAUGGGCAGGGAGGGAAGCCCAGUGUCACGGCACCCUGCCACGGUGACGUGGACCAAGAGGGCCCAGUGGCCGGCGGGGCUGGGGGGAUGAGAGCCCCCACGCCGUCCGCCCUGCCACGUGGACAGUGUCCGUGGGUCCCUCCCUCCGUCCAUUUCUGUCCUGGACUUUGGCUUCGCAGGGAGCAGCGUCAAGGUUCGCGCCCUGAGUUCUGUGCCCGUGACCUUGGCCGCCUGCCCCCCUCUCCGUCAUCGGGCCCGGGUCUGGCCCCCACGGCUGGCCCAGCCCGCAGAGGCCCCUGAGCCUGGGGCAGGUGUCCCUGGGCACAGCCGCCAGACGGUGGAUGGCGCUGGAACCCUGGGGCUCAGCUGCCUCCCGCCCACCUGCCACCUGCCGCCGCCUUCCGGCUGUCACCGUCCCCAGGAGGCUGGGCGACACGGGCUCCUGCUGCUCUUCCUCCCCAGCUUCCCGGGAGGUGACGCAGGUGACAGCGGGUGCCCCUGGGCCCGGCUGCUCGUGGCCGUCUCUGGGUGGCUGACGGGGGCGGGGCAGCCUCUGCCCACCCAGGGCCCCGGGGACGGCGGG
rnacentral:lncRNA from 1 species